GGGCUCACUUCAGCAGCACACAUACUAAAAUUGGAAUGAUAAGAGAAGAUUAACAUGGUCUCUGCAAGGAUGACAUGCAAAUUCAAGAAGUGUUCCAUAUUUUU
ensembl:snRNA U6 U6 spliceosomal RNA